UACGAGGGGGGCGAGCGUUGUUCGGAAUUAUUGGGCGUAAAGGGUGCGUAGGCGGUUUGGUAAGUCUGAUGUGAAAUCUAUGGGCUCAACUCAUAGUCUGCAUCGGAAACUGCCGGGCUGGAGUGCGGCAGAGGGGGAUGGAAUUCCGCGUGUAGCAGUGAAAUGCGUAGAUAUGCGGAGGAACACCGAUGGCGAAGGCAAUCCCCUGGGCCUGCACUGACGCUCAUGCACGAAAGCGUGGGGAGCAAACAGG
rnacentral:rRNA from 1 species